rnacentral:siRNA from 1 species
UAAACAUGCUCAAGUACACGGG